rnacentral:rRNA from 1 species
UGGGGAAUAUUGCACAAUGGGCGCAAGCCUGAUGCAGCCAUGCCGCGUGUAUGAAGAAGGCCUUCGGGUUGUAAAGUACUUUCAGUCGGGAGGAAGGUGUCAAGGUUAAUAACCUUGGCAAUUGACGUUACCGACAGAAGAAGCACCGGCUAACUCCGUGCCAGCAGCCGCGGUAAUACGGAGGGUGCAAGCGUUAAUCGGAAUUACUGGGCGUAAAGCGCACGCAGGCGGUUUGUUAAGUCAGAUGUGAAAUCCCCGGGCUCAACCUGGGAACUGCAUCUGUUACUGGCAAGCUUGAGUCUCGUAGAGGGGGGUAGAAUUCCAGGUGUAGCGGUGAAAUGCGUAGAGAUCUGGAGGAAUACCGGUGGCGAAGGCGGCCCCCUGGACGAAGACUGACGCUCAGGUGCGAAAGCGUGGGGAGCAAACAGG